rnacentral:rRNA from 1 species
AGUGAACGCUGGCGGCAGGCCUAACACAUGCAAGUCGAGCGGCAGCGGGUCCUUCGGGAUGCCGGCGAGCGGCGGACGGGUGAGGAAUGCAUCGGAAUCUGCCCUGUCGUGGGGGAUAACCUAGGGAAACUUAGGCUAAUACCGCAUACGACCCACGGGUGAAAGCGGGGGAUCGCAAGACCUCGCGCGAUAGGAUGAGCCGAUGUCCGAUUAGCUAGUUGGCGGGGUAAGGGCCCACCAAGGCGACGAUCGGUAGCUGGUCUGAGAGGAUGAUCAGCCACACUGGGACUGAGACACGGCCCAGACUCCUACGGGAGGCAGCAGUGGGGAAUAUUGGACAAUGGGCGCAAGCCUGAUCCAGCCAUGCCGCGUGGGUGAAGAAGGCCUUCGGGUUGUAAAGCCCUUUUGUCCGGGAAGAAAUCGUCUGGGCUAAUACCCCGGGCGGAUGACGGUACCGGAAGAAUAAGCACCGGCUAACUUCGUG